rnacentral:rRNA from 1 species
AGAGUUUGAUCCUGGCUCAGAAUGAACGUUGGCGGCGUGGAUUAGGCAUGCAAGUCGAGCGCGAUAUUUUUGAAAGAUACUUCGGUUGAUUUCAUCAAUGGAAAGCGGCGAAAGGGAGAGUAACGAGUAGAUACGUACCCAGGGGUUCGGGAUAGCCAUGCGAAAGCGUGAGUAAUACCGAAUAAUGUCUCCGGACCAAAAAUUUAUUGCCCUUGGAGCGGUCUGCUUACUAUUAGCUUGUUGGUGGGGUAAAGGCCUACCAAGGCGAAGAUGGUUAGCGGGUGUGAGAGCAUGGCCCGUCUCACUGGGACUGAGACACUGCCCAGACACCUACGGGUGGCUGCAGUCGAGAAUCUUCCGCAAUGGACGAAAGUCUGACGGAGCGACGCCGCGUGAUGGACGAAGGCCCUCGGGUUGUAAACAUCUGUCGUAGGGGAGGAAAUUUUGACCGAUCCUAGGAGGAAGCACAGGCUAAGUUCGUGCCAGCAGCCGCGGUAAUACGAACUGUGCGAACGUUAUUCGGAAUCACUGGGCUUAAAGGGUGCGUAGGCGGGUUGGUAGGUCAGAUGUGAAAGCCCACGGCUCAACCGUGGAAUUGCGUUUGAAACCACUAGUCUUGAGGGGAUCAGAGGAGAGCGGAACUGAUGGUGGAGCGGUGAAAUGCGUUGAUAUUAUCAGGAACACCGGUGGCGAAGGCGGCUCUCUGGGAUCUUUCUGACGCUGAGGCACGAAAGCUAGGGGAGCGAACGGGAUUAGAUACCCCGGUAGUCCUAGCUGUAAACGAUCUGUACUAGUCCGUGGGGACCCCCACAUCUUCUCGGACGUAGCGAAAGUGUUAAGUACAGCGCCUGGGGA